UACGUAGGGGGCAAGCGUUGUCCGGAAUUAUUGGGCGUAAAGCGCGCGCAGGCGGUUCUUUAAGUCUUGUGUUUAAGGCCGGGGGUCAACCCUGGUACGCAUGGGAAACUGGAGAACUGGAGUGCAGGAGAGGAAAGUGGAAUUCCACGUGUAGCGGUGAAAUGCGUAGAGAUGUGGAGGAACACCAGUGGCGAAGGCGACUUUCUGGCCUGUAAAUGACGCUGAGGCACGAAAGCGUGGGGAGCAAACAGG
rnacentral:rRNA from 1 species